CCAGACUCCUACGGGAGGCAGCAGUGGGGAAUAUUGCACAAUGGGGGGAACCCUGAUGCAGCGACGCCGCGUGAGGGAAGAAGGUUUUCGGAUUGUAAACCUCUGUCCUCUGUGACGAUAAUGACGGUAGCAGAGGAGGAAGCCACGGCUAACUACGUGCCAGCAGCCGCGGUAAUACGUAGGUGGCGAGCGUUAUCCGGAAUUACUGGGUGUAAAGGGAGCGUAGACGGCAGCGCAAGUCUGGAGUGAAAUGCCGGGGCCCAACCCCGGAACUGCUCUGGAAACUGUGAAGCUGGAGUGCAGGAGAGGUAAGCGGAAUUCCUGGUGUAGCGGUGAAAUGCGUAGAUAUCAGGAGGAACACCGGCGGCGAAGGCGGCUUACUGGACUGUAACUGACGUUGAGGCUCGAAGGCGUGGGGAGCAAACAGGAUUAGAUACCCGGGUA
rnacentral:rRNA from 1 species